UACGUAGGGGGCAAGCGUUGUCCGGAUUUAUUGGGCGUAAAGAGCGUGUAGGCGGCUAGGUAGGUCCGUUGUGAAAACUCGAGGCUCAACCUCGAGACGUCGAUGGAAACCAUCUAGCUAGAGUCCGGAAGAGGAGAGUGGAAUUCCUGGUGUAGCGGUGAGAUGCGCAGAUAUCAGGAAGAACACCCGUGGCGAAGGCGGCUCUCUGGUACGUGACUGACGCUGAGACGCGAAAGCGUGGGGAGCGAACAGG
rnacentral:rRNA from 1 species